rnacentral:tRNA from 1 species
CUGGAAAACAGCAAUCCAAUUUGAACGCUCACACUUAUCGGUUGUGGAAGGAUCGUCGCCAGCGGCCUGGGUUUGCCUGGUCACUCCGCGGCCGGCUUGGGUCUGUAGCUCAGUUGGUUAGAGCACCGUCUUGAUAAGGCGGGGGUCGUUGGUUCGAGACCAACCAGACCCACCAUCCCUUCUUGGGUUUAUUGGGGGAUUAGCUCAGCUGGGAGAGCACCUGCUUUGCAAGCAGGGGGUCGUCGGUUCGAUCCCGUCAUCCUCCACCAUUUGUUUUGUCAUUCAACACCAAAGCGGCUUCGCGAGAGGCUGUUUUGUUGUUGAUCGGGAUCUCCCGAUCAAUCGGCUGUUCUUUAAAAAUUCAUAGAGUCGAAUCAGCGUUGUCAGAGGAAACUGCACAUUCGUAAAGGUUUAGUGCAGACCGUGCCUCUGAUGACAAUUUUGAUUGCGUCAAAAUGAACUCAAACUUUGUUUGAAUUCAAGUAAUGACGAAUCGUUCUCUUGACAGCAAUGUCAAAGAAUCAUUCACAUUACGGCAUAACGCGCCAGGUGAAAGACCUGGCAAGUCCUUGAAAGAAGGCUUGGGUGUUUCGCAAGAAACGUCAAAGUUAUAGGGUCAAGUGACUAAGAGCAUGUG